CGUGAGGGGUCGGUGGGACGGGACGGUGGGAAAGUCUUGGAGGGGCCGCACGGGGGGAGCUGGGGUGCCGGGAGAGGCUCCGAGAAGCCGCAGAAUUCAGAGCCAGUGUGGGCUGUUCCGGCGUUAUCUGCUCCCCUCUGUACCUAAGGUCCCGCCGGUUUGGCUGCCUGCUCCGUCCCCUCUCACGGAGACACUGGCGUGUGAGGCGAUGGCCGCCUGCACUCGCCCUCUGUGCAAAACCCGUCAGCUCCUCCUGGGAUGUGUAUUUAUUGCUUCAGUUACCGCUCAUCCUUGCUUUAGUUGUUGCUCAUUUUUGGGUGCUAGUUACAGGUGUGCUUGUGACCAGCAGCACUUCCUCAGGGACGCCUUUGCUGUUCCACAGUGCUCUAGCAGAGCAGCAGUUAGUGGCACCACACGCGUGGCUGUUGUGAGGGUGUUCCCAUCCUUAAGCCUGGUAAUCCUUCAUUUCUGACCCAGAUUAGCUCCAGUUUCCAUCAAUCAAAUCUUGUUAAUCACUCUUUAUGGUGAGUUCUGAAGCCAGAAGAGGAGAGGAGGAGUCCAGUCAGGUUCCAAAGCAGUACUCUGAGAGAAAGAAGCACUGAAAUCAAUUUGCCAGUGACACAUGCAUGGAAAAGGAUAAAGUGAGACCUUAUCCGGGCAGAGAAUCAUGGAGAAUGGAAGGAGAAAGGAAGUUUGGAUGUAUGAAAAGCUGCAAUGGUGCUCAAGUAUAUUGAUGUGAAAGAGAGUAAAGGAGAAGAAAGGGAGAAAGGGAGGUGGUAUGGCAGACACAUGGGGCAUAUGAUGGAGUAGGAAAAGCAGAGGGAUGAUGAGUGAAGCAGUUGCCACAAAUAAGGAAGCAAACGUGGAAGAACUGGAACAAUAAUUUGAAAAGCUGGAGACAUAUGGAUGAUUUUCAGGAGCAUGGAGAUAUGGGGAAUGCAGAAGGCAUGAGCAGCUGAAGAUUAGCAGGAUUAGGGGCUCCUGUGAGCCAGGAGAUCAGAGGUCUCAGCAGGUUUUCAGUGCUUUGCCCUUUGUUUACAUAGCAGUGUGGAUGGGAGAGGUGGCAGUGCCCACUGCUUGGGAUAGGGGAACAGUCUUCGACAGCCUGGGACCAUUCUGUCCAACAGCCCAGUCACAGCAGCCACUGUGUAAAUAAAGCAGGUUCUUCCCAAAAGCCUCAGGAAGGUCUGAAAAUGUACAACCCCCAUAAAAAUUAAAAUUGAUAGCUGGAGGUGUAUAGUUGGAAGGAGGGCAAGGUAAUUCUAUCAGAGAAGCUUGAAAAUAGUGAUCUUAUUUGCAUGCAGAUGACCAAGUAUGCAUAGUCCUUAUUUAAUGAUUGUAUUUCAAGUAAUAGAGUCAGCAAUGAAAAACAAGUGGUUAAGUAUUAUAAUGUUUGGUUGAGCCACUGAAUUGCCUGUAACCUCAGAGCUAAGACUAACCUGGACUGUGGGGGUGAUCCUAAUUACAACCUUACUAUUAGAUAUGCAAUUACCAAUCUAUAAUUACGAGCUAAAUUUUAGAACACUGACUGUUCCUCUGUUUACAGUGAAUUCUGACUUCUGGAUAUAAGAAUAUUACUACAUGUGACAAAAUUAAAAAUAAAUUCAUUCUUCAGUGAACAAAAUAUAUCUUUAAAUACUUUCUCUGAAAAAGUAAGUAAAACACCCAGUCAUGUUUCAUGAAAAGUAAUGAUUAUGGUUAGAUACUAAUUACCCUUAUUGUGAAAAAGAUCAGAUAGCAGCAGAAGGUUGGUUAAACAUGGUGGCAUUUCUGUGAUAACUCAACAAUCUUAAAGGCAGGAAGGCAAAAAGGAAACUUUUUACUAAGAAUCCUGUAUUAAAGAUAUCCUGUCAGCCUUA